CAAUAGCGUAUAUUUAAGUUGUUGCAGUUAAAAAGCUCGUAGUUGGAUUUCGGAUGGGACUUGCCGGUCCGUCGUUUCGAUGUGCACUGGCCAGUCCUAUCUUGUUGUCGGGGACUAGCUCCUGGGCUUCACUGUCCGGGACUAGGAGCUGACGAGGUUACUUUGAGUAAAUUAGAGUGUUCAAAGCAAGCCUACGCUCUGAAUACAUUAGCAUGGAAUAACACGAUAGGACUCUGGCUUAUCUUGUUGGUCUGUGAGACCAGAGUAAUGAUUAAGAGGGACAGUCGGGGGCAUUCGUAUUUCAUUGUCAGAGGUGAAAUUCUUAGAUUCGUUGAGGACCAACCACUGCGAAAGCAUUUGUCAAGGAUGUCUCCAUUAA
rnacentral:rRNA from 1 species